GAUGAACGCUGGCGGCGUGCCUAACACAUGCAAGUCGAGCGAUCUUCUUCGGAAGAGAGCGGCGGACGGGUGAGUAACGCGUGGGUAACCUGCCUCAUACACAUGGAUAACAUACCGAAAGGUAUGCUAAUACAAGAUGAUAUAAGAGAUUCGCAUGUUUUUCUUAUCAAAGCUUUUGCGGUAUGAGAUGGACCCGCGUCUGAUUAGCUAGUUGGUAAGGUAAUGGCUUACCAAGGCUUCGAUCAGUAGCCGACCUGAGAGGGUGAUCGGCCACAUUGGAACUGAGACACGGUCCAAACUCCUACGGGAGGCAGCAGUGGGGAAUAUUGCACAAUGGGCGAAAGCCUGAUGCAGCAACGCCGCGUGAGCGAUGAAGGCCUUCGGGUCGUAAAGUUCUGUCCUCAAGGAAGAUAAUGACGGUACUUGAGGAGGAAGCCCCGGCUAACUACGUGCCAGCAGCCGCCGUAAUAC
rnacentral:rRNA from 1 species